UGAAGAAGCCCGGUGAGGCCAUAAACUAAAAGUAAGCAAAACGAAAAUUAAUCCGUUUUUUUCUUUUCACAGUUGCGAAACAAAGGUCAGCGGUCCGGAAUCAAGCCAGGGAGGUCCAAAGAAGAGAGGGAAAGAUCCAGAACCCCAUGUGCCAUAUGCCUUGAACUCAUCAGGAGAAUGGAAGAAUGUAAAUAUAUACCUCCUCUCACAGAAAGCUAGGCUGGCCACAUCUUUGAUGUCUUUCCAUAAGCAGCCUUUUUUUGGCAAUCUGUGUGGCCCCUGAAGAAUCCUAAGGGCCCAAAACCUGCCACCUGGGCCUGCCAAAACUCACCUCUGGCGUAGAUGGUCAACAGUUUCCUAUGCUGCCCUUUGCCACUACUGACCAUGCGCAGCAUGUGAGGAACUGCCUUUUCCAUGUGUCUUUUUCUGACCUUUGAGAUAAGGAAAUGAAAACAUCCAUCUGUUUUUCAAGCUGGUGACCACCACUAGUUCUUUUCUGUUCUUCUCCCAUCCAGGCUUUGGAAUCAGUUGCUGUGUUUUGUGCCCAAGAUCUGGGGACUGACUUUGCAAAAACGUGUUGCCAGGACUUUUCAUUUUAGGCAGGCUUUUUUACGGCGAGACAUUGCUUUAUUUCUGGCUCCUUGUUUGUAAUCUGGCCCUGUUAUAACAUUUUAUUCUGCUUGAUUGCAACUUUUACAGCUAUGUAUUUUCACUUUAACUGUAACCCAUUUCAAGAAGAAUUACAGGAAAGUGGAUUGUGAAUUGCCUAAUAAAUAAAUAAAUAUAUAUUCUGUGAAACAAGAUAUUUGUGCAUCAACAAGACCAGCUGUUCCAUGUGCAGGGCAGUGCAGAUGAUGCUUGUGUUGAUGUUUUGGAGACUUAUAUUGGAUAAUAUAAGUGGUGGAGUGGAGGCUAUGCAACCUCCUGGGUGCGACUGUGGCCUCAGCCACCACUUGCCUUGGGGUUAGCAGUGCAUCACUGACUUUAGCCAUGUCGUAAUGCAGCACUGAACAAAAAUCUCACUUCUGCACUAAAAUAAGCCAAGUGGGGGAAGAUGCAUCUUGUUUUCAAGGAUAAUCAGGUGCCCAAAAGGAGGUGCAAAGCAUUUUGUUAUUAUCUGCUGUCAAGUCAGAGCUGACUUAUAGCAACCCUACCAGGGCUUUCAAGG